ACUCCAUUUCAUGAUUAUUAUGAUUUAUAUUGUUAUAGUUACUUAUAUGAAGUGGUAUUUUAUGCGUGUGCAUAGACCUAUACUAGAAAAUAGAAAAAUGAUUGAAAAAAUGAAUAGAUUAGCUAAUUUAAAUGCCAUAAUUAGAGAGAGUGAAUGUAAGAAUAAAAUCCGUAUGAAUAGGCAUACUUUUUAUGUUCUUUGUGAGAUGCUAAGAGAUAUUAGAGGAUUGAAACAAACUCAAAGUAUGGAGCUG
rnacentral:misc_RNA from 1 species